rnacentral:lncRNA from 1 species
GCAAAACCUUCAUUUCUUUUCUCCUAACUCCCCAGAACUGCACCCAUAUCAUUAGAACACAGAACCAAAGAAAGACAAGAAAAUCUAAGCAUAAAGAAAACAUAAACCAGACCAGUAGAAAUCAUCUACUCCCACAAAUCGUAUCGUUAAGUAAUUCAUGCUCGGUUCUGAAGAUAUCAGACAUCGAAUCUGGACUCCUUAGCACAGCCGUCACCUUAUCGUCUCGAGUUUUCACCUUUCUUUGCACCCUUUGAACUGACCGCAUGAAUCAAAGUUCUUACAAUACGAAUUUUAACCUGACCUCGUUUUGGUGGCAGAGACUUUUCUUUCUGCAAGUUGCGGGAGAUAUGAUAUUCCAUUGCCGCAAGCUGUUAAACAAAUGGAAAGGCUGCAGGUAGGACUCGGAUAGACCGUGAUGUUAAGAAGCUG